rnacentral:rRNA from 1 species
CAAUAGCGUAUAUUAAAGUUGUUGCAGUUAAAAAGCUCGUAGUUGGACUUCUGCGGGUGGCGGCCGGUCGUGCUCGAAACGGGCGUGAACUUGGCGUGCUGCCUGCAUCUUUGGGGAGAUUGUGCGUGGCAUUAAGUUGUCGUGCAUGGGAUUCUCAUCAUUUACUGUGAAAAAAUUAGAGUGUUUAAAGCAGGCCUUUGCCUUGAAUACAUUAGCAUGGAAUAAUAAGAUAGGACCGUUGUCUAUUUUGUUGGUUUACAGAUGUCGGUAAUGAUUAAUAGGGAUAGUUGGGGGUAUUCGUAUUCAGUUGUCAGAGGUGAAAUUCUUGGAUUUUCGGAAGACGCACGACUGCGAAAGCAUUUACCAAGGAUGUUUUCAUUAA